rnacentral:lncRNA from 12 species
CUUAACUCAUAGUGGUCUUUCAUUUUCAGCUGCCCAAAAGCACAGUACAGCCAUCUUGCCUAAGGUCUACCCAAACCUCCUGUUGUCCUAACAGUGAACAGAGAAGAGUGUCAGUGUGGCAAACAUUUUACAAGUACACCAAAUAUUUUUGAUUUCAUGAACUUCAUAAAUUGUCCUGUCCCCAAAGUCUUGGAGCUCAGAAGGUGCAAUACUGCAGGAGGAAAAACCCCAGCAAUAUCUGAGUUUCUUGGUGGCACAUCGAAGACAAGAACAUUAGCAGAGACAAGGGAAUAG